rnacentral:rRNA from 1 species
AUUGAACGCUGGCGGCGUGCUUAACACAUGCAAGUCGAACGAAGUGGCGAACGGGUGAGUAACGCGUAAUCAACCUGCCCUUCAGAGGUGGACAACAGUUGUAAACGACUGCUAAUACCGCAUACUGACGUAGGUGAUUGCGUCUGAUUAGCUAGUUGGAGGGGUAACGGCCCACCAAGGCGAUGAUCAGUAGCCGGUCUGAGGGGAUGAACGGCCACAUUGGGACUGGGACACGGCCCAGACUCCUACGGGAGGCAGCAGUGGGGAAUCUUCCGCAAUGGACGAAAGUCUGACGGAGCAACGCCGCGUGAGUGAUGACGGCCUUCGGGUUGUAAAGCUCUGUUAAUCGGGACGCGGUACCGGAAUAGAAAGCAACGGCUAACUACGUGCCAGCAGCCGCGGUAAUAC